CAAGAGCGUAUAUUACAGUUGCUGCGGUUAAAAAGCUCGUAGUUGGAUUUCAGUCUAGGAAGGUUAACUCGCCGAAAGGUUGUACGUUGAUUUUCCUCAGACUUCGUCAGAAGCUCGUGCUGCACUUAACUGUGUGGUACGAUGUUCUGACCUUUUACCUUGAGGAAAGUAGAGUGUUUCAGGCAGGCUACCCAGCUUGAAUACAUUAGCAUGGAAUAAUGAAAUGGAUCUCGGUUCGAUUUCGUUGGUUCUAGAGCUGAGGUGAUGAUCAAUAGGAACAGGCGAAGGUAUUCGUACUUGAGAGUGAGGAGUGAAAUCCGAUGAUCUCUUAAAGACGAUCCGAGGCGAAAGCAUUUGUCAAGGAUGUUUUCAUUGA
rnacentral:rRNA from 1 species